rnacentral:rRNA from 1 species
ACGCACGCUGGCGGCGUGCUUAACACAUGCAAGUCGCACGCAGAGCGACGGAAGCUUGCUUCUAUCAAUCUUAGUGGCGAACGGGUGAGUAACGCGUAAUCAACCUGCCCUUCAGAGGGGGACAACAGUUGGAAACGACUGCUAAUACCGCAUACGAUCUAACCUCGGCAUCGAGGAUAGAUGAAAGGUGGCCUCUACAUGUAAGCUAUCACUGAAGGAGGGGAUUGCGUCUGAUUAGCUAGUUGGAGGGGUAACGGCCCACCAAGGCGAUGAUCAGUAGCCGGUCUGAGAGGAUGAACGGCCACAUUGGGACUGAGACACGGCCCAGACUCCUACGGGAGGCAGCAGUGGGGAAUCUUCCGCAAUGGACGAAAGUCUGACGGAGCAACGCCGCGUGAGUGAUGACGGCCUUCGGGUUGUAAAGCUCUGUUAAUCGGGACGAAAGGCCUUCUUGCGAAUAGUGAGAAGGAUUGACGGUACCGGAAGAGAAAGCCACGGCUAACUACGUG